rnacentral:rRNA from 1 species
CAUCCAGAGAAUUUAGCAGAGAUGCUUUAGUGCCUUCGGGAACUCUGAGACAGGUGCUGCAUGGCUGUCGUCAGCUCGUGUUGUGAAAUGUUGGGUUAAGUCCCGCAACGAGCGCAACCCUUAUCCUUUGUUGCCAGCACGUAAUGGUGGGAACUCAAAGGAGACUGCCGGUGAUAAACCGGAGGAAGGUGGGGAUGACGUCAAGUCAUCAUGGCCCUUACGAGUAGGGCUACACACGUGCUACAAUGGCGCAUACAAAGAGAAGCGACCUCGCGAGAGCAAGCGGACCUCAUAAAGUGCGUCGUAGUCCGGAUUGGAGUCUGCAACUCGACUCCAUGAAGUCGGAAUCGCUAGUAAUCGUAAAUCAGAAUGUUACGGUGAAUACGUUCCCGGGCCUUGUACACACCGCCCGUCACACCAUGGGAGUGGGUUGCAAAAGAAGUAGAUAGCUUAACCUUCGGGAGGGCGUUUACCACUUUGUGAUUCAUGACUGGGGUGAAGUCGUAACAAGGUAAGCGUAGUGCU